rnacentral:lncRNA from 1 species
UGGCGACAUUCAGGCCGAGGAGGCCAAAGCUCCCUUGCCGAGGUUAAUGGCAGCCCUGUUAUGGACCAGUGUAUGUCAGGCAAGUCACCGAACCUUGCUGUGUCUUAGUGUCCUCCUGGGGAUGGUCCCUACGUCUCAGUGAGCCGGGGACUCUGAAGUGCUUGGAGCUGCGCCGGGCAUGGGAAGGGCUCUAUAAAUGAUUGUUCUUCUUCCCACUGCUGUCACAGUUUAUUAUUACUGGACUGGACAAUGUCCCUUGGUGGUGUGCUCUGAAGUCAGGGGACAGUGACCAGUGCUGCUCCUUCGACCUACGCCAGCCCGAUGGGCUCUGCUUCCUGUGGCACUGCCGAUUCUUUGUCUGCUUCUCCCACUGACCCCCGUCUGCCAGAUCCCUUCCAUUGGUGCAAGGAGCUGGGACAGCGCUGCCCCUUCUGAUUUUUCCCGGGGUCUUGGGGUAAAGAGCCUCUUUGGUACAUAAUAAAUGCAGGUAUUUAGUUUUGGUCAUUUGUGGGGAAGUGCUGGGGGCAGCAUGAAUGCCUUGGCCCUGACCAGGACGAGCGUGGCAGCUGGGUUGUUUGCUUUACUGAUUACAGCUUGAAGCACUGAGACCACAAGGAAUUCUAUUUUGGUUUGGAGGCAGGCGCCUUGACGUGAAAAGGAUCUAUCCUUGAAUUUGCAUUUCUGUGUGCCUCAGAACCUCUUUGGUGUUGGUGGAAUGCGUGUCCAUUGUGGGGCAGGGCUUGGGUCGGACCCGAGGCCCUCAACGCUGCUUGGUCUUAACAGAAUUCAGGCGUUCACAGCUGGUUCUCCCAGCCCAGAGCCCCUCCUGAGCAGCCCUGUGUCGUGAUGCUCUUUGUGGUCACUUACAUAAGAACUGAAUCUUUGCGCCAAGGCUAUGGUAUAAUUUUCCUGAAAGAACUGGAAUACAUGUGCCUUUGAUAAGACAGCACCCAGUUUAGCCACCCAGAAGCUAGGGGAACAAAAUCCCAGCCUUCGGCCCCUGGGAGGUGAAGCCCCAGAGAAGCUGAUUGUCCUUGAUGGCAGGGGUGCAGAGAGCAGAGCAGCCAGGUCCAGCCGGACCCUCCCUUACCCUCCCCGCCGGGUGUGAUUUGGAUGGAGAGAAACACAAGCUCUUCAAGGCGCUUUCUCUCAUCAAUAGAACCUGGAUACCGUGUAUUUUUCUUGCGCUGUGCUCACGGCUUACGGCAGGGAUGGCCGUGUCCCCAGUGCUGGGGGUUGUUACAAAGGACACUCGACAAAAGUGAAAAAGGCCCUAGAGACCGUUGAUCCAGCUCCUCUGUGCUAUGGAUGAGGAGGCCAAGGCCCAGAAAGCCCAAGUGUGUCAGGCUCUUUUGUUAAGUCACAGAUCCUGCUUCCCCCCAACAGAACAGCAUACAGCCGUUCAGGCAAAAUGAGGGUUUAUUGUAAAGACUCGUGGGGUAUUUUAUGGCACGUGAGGGCAGGAACGGUAGGAAGUGAGGUCAUUCUCUUUGGAGCCAGUGGUAGAGAUGGGCAUCCUUGGCCCUCCCAGCUCCCCGGCUCUGGUGCCCCCCCCAGUUGAGCCUGACUGGGAGGGAGGACGGGGUUGGCCCAGCUGGGUCAGGAGACCACCACGGAUGCAGUCAGCUGACAAGGCUGGGGAGGGGGCGCUCCUGAUCGGUCAGGGGUCCCUCUUCAGCAGGUCUGGGCAUGAAGGUGGUCCUCAGAGAAGGGUUCAAGGGCAGGGAAGCACCCUCUGUCACCCGGCUCCCCCAGGGCGAUGGGACCAGGAUCCAGGUCUUCUAGUCCAGCAGCAUCUUCCUCCUCGGGAGUGAGAGCGAAGUGGAGACCCCAGUCCCUCGAGGGGUGGUCGGGAGGACCCGAGGGGAAGGUCAGGCUGUGGCACCGGGAGUGUUAGCUUCGCUGGACUUCCCUCUGCGAGUCUCACCUCCCCGUGACCUCCUCUGCUCUAGUCAUUUGGGACAUUUUGAAGGGCUGUGGUCAGGGCACUGCGCUGCCUAGUUGCAGCUUUCCUGAUGUGGUCGCGGAAGACCAACAUUCUGCACAGGGUGUGGGCAGAGGAGGGACACGCCACUGCGUUUAAACCCACAGCGAUGACAUGGUGCCCGGAAAUAACCUCCCCAGAUACCCGGGGCCACUGGGCAGCCGGGCUCGGCUCUGCGGGGAAGUGGUCUGGCCUGAUUGCCCGCCCCCCCCCCGCCCCGCCACCGAAGGUCUGGUCUGACGGGGGCCAGCAGUUUUCCUUCCGUGACCACUUAGACACACAAUAAAAUUGGAGUGUCUUUGCUGUUUUGAGGUGUGGGGCAUUUUCUUUUACGUUUCAUUAAUCAUUUCUUAAAAUGUAGCCUCGUUCCUUUCCCUUGUAAUGUUUAUUCACAUUACCAGCACGUAUAUAAAAUGAGACACUCCUUAUUUCCACGAAGUGCACAUCGGAGUAAGCGUUCACUGCUGGUCCGACAGCUGCUGCUGCUUUAAUAAUAGUAAUAUUUUUCAAGGCAUUGCAGCUGAAUGCACUGCCUCCCGGUACCUAAAGUGGGGCCAAGGCAGAUAACGCUGUCACUGUCCCAAGGCUUCGUCUGCAUUUUGAGUAACAGAGUUUGAACAAAUUCAGAAUCUGCCACUACUGCAGUUAAGCACCUGCUCCGUGCUGGGCACUGGGCUGAAUGCCUCACACACAUCGUGUCACUUCAUUUAAUCCUUCCGACAGCUCUAUGGGGGGGGGUGCGGUUUCCCCAUUUUUCAGAUGACAGCCCAGGCUUAGGAAGGAUUCAGACCACUCCGUGCUCUUUUACCUCAGACUUGUUCUCAAGACAAAAGUGCUUUAUAGUGAGAAUGGAAUGCAAAUGACAUAGAACAGUCAGGAAAUAGGCUUCAGCUGAAGCAUGAGAGAUUUAGGUUAGCGCUGAAUAAGAACUUCCUGACAGGAUAUUAAAUACCAACUGGAUGNAAAACCCCCCCCCCCCCCCCGAGAGGCUAAUUAACUGCGUUAUGUACUUGCUCCCGUUCAUACAUGUAGCCCCUUCUACUAGACUGUACCGAUCUUGAGGGAGGAGGUCCCUCCCUUUAACCUGCUUGUCACUCAGAGAUUUGACUAAUGAGGGUAUAUAAUGAAGGCUACAUUGAAAUUGCCCUUGAUCGAUGCUUGCCGAGGGCAGGUCUGGGAAAAGUCUUCCAAGACCUGUUGUCUCCCUCCUCUCUGGACUUCAGUUGUACGCCUACCAGUUGGGUAGAGCAUUUGGAAAAACCGCCCGUUGCUGAAUUUCCUGAAGCUCUUGCCACAGAUCCAUGGCAGACCUGGAUGCUGAGCUGAAUUUUUGGUCUGGUCUUCUCGUGUCUGCAACCUACAGUCUUUCAGUGGAUUAGCAGCUUCAGAAGCAGCGAGCACUCUGACUUUUGCGUUCCAGCUCUGUACCGAGUACAGAAAUAACUGAGAAAUGUGCUAUUUCUGACCCUCACGACACCCAGCUGAUAAAUAAUGGAGAGAGGAUUCACACCCAGGUAUGUGGGGCUCCAGAGCCCGCACCCGCCCCGCCUCCGGCCAGCCUUACUUUGUUGUAAUUUAGCUGCAAAGUGCGGGGGACCAGGGGACAGUCGUGUUGGCAUUGACCUUCUCAAUGGAAACACACAUGCAUAGACACACAAACAAGACCUGCCUCCUCCAGGGGAAGAGAAGGCAUUUUCCCUCCAGAUGAUUUGUGUUUCCUUUACGUUGAAUGGGAGGCAUUUAAAUUUGGAUAAUUUACAUCCAUCAACUGGGGCAGCCAGUUCAUGAUGAUUACGGAGAGAAUUGGUGUUUUCAAAAAGAGCUGACCUCUCUGAUUUUUCUUUACAAAUGGCGAGGAGUGAAGCAUGUGAUUUUAUGAGCAGUUCUCCUCUGGGUUAACUCGCCAGCAUUUCUGUAUCCGUUAUAGCUGCUUACAAAGUGCUUUCAUGUGUGUUGUCUCAUUGCAUCCACAGCCCUUGGUAAGGCAACAGAACUCCCGUUUCCACAUUUGACAGAUGAGGAAACAGAGGCUCAGAAAGUUAAAAUGACUUGUCACAACGUUGAAUAAGUAGCCGAAGCUUGAGGUCACUUCUGCCUUCCAGUCUCCUAUGUUAUGCCCCCCGCCCCCAAGUGGUUCAGUGUCUGAAAGAGACACACCUAUGAGAUGUUUCGCCAAGUGAUUUUUAACUUAAAAGAAUACCUUUU